rnacentral:rRNA from 1 species
CGGCGGACGGGUGAGUAACGCGUGGGUAACCUGCCUCGUACAGGGGAGUAACAGUUGGAAACGGCUGCUAAUACCGCAUAAGCGCACAGUACCGCAUGGUACCGUGUGAAAAACUCCGGUGGUAUGAGAUGGACCCGCGUCUGAUUAGCUAGUUGGUGGGGUAACGGCCUACCAAGGCGACGAUCAGUAGCCGACCUGAGAGGGUGACCGGCCACAUUGGGACUGAGACACGGCCCAA